AUCGAACGCUGGCGGCAGGCCUAACACAUGCAAGUCGAGCGGAUGAAGGGAGCUUGCUCCUGGAUUCAGCGGCGGACGGGUGAGUAAUGCCUAGGAAUCUGCCUGGUAGUGGGGGAUAACGUCCGGAAACGGGCGCUAAUACCGCAUACGUCCUGAGGGAGAAAGUGGGGGACCUUCGGACCUCACGCUAUCAGAUGAGCCUAGGUCGGAUUAGCUAGUUGGUGGGGUAAAGGCCUACCAAGGCGACGAUCCGUAACUGGUCUGAGAGGAUGAUCAGUCACACUGGAACUGAGACACGGUCCAGACUCCUACGGGAGGCAGCAGUGGGGAAUAUUGGACAAUGGGCGAAAGCCUGAUCCAGCCAUGCCGCGUGUGUGAAGAAGGUCUUCGGAUUGUAAAGCACUUUAAGUUGGGAGGAAGGGCAGUAAGUUAAUACCUUGCUGUUUUGACGUUACCAACAGAAUAAGCACCGGCUAACUUCGUG
rnacentral:rRNA from 1 species